rnacentral:rRNA from 1 species
GGCUCAGGAUGAACGCUGGCGGCGUGCUUAACACAUGCAAGUCGAACGAUGAUCCCAGCUUGCUGGGGGAUUAGUGGCGAACGGGUGAGUAACACGUGAGUAACCUGCCCUUGACUCUGGGAUAAGCCUGGGAAACUGGGUCUAAUACCGGAUAUGACCGCUCUGACGCAUGUCAGGUGGUGGAAAGCUUUUGUGGUUUUGGAUGGACUCGCGGCCUAUCAGCUUGUUGGUGGGGUAAUGGCCUACCAAGGCGACGACGGGUAGCCGGCCUGAGAGGGUGACCGGCCACACUGGGACUGAGACACGGCCCAGACUCCUACGGGAGGCAGCAGUGGGGAAUAUUGCACAAUGGGCGCAAGCCUGAUGCAGCGACGCCGCGUGAGGGAUGACGGCCUUCGGGUUGUAAACCUCUUUCAGUAGGGAAGAAGCGAAAGUGACG